rnacentral:lncRNA from 1 species
GGGAAGUGAGGAGCGUCUCUGCCCGGCCGCCCAUCGUCUGAGAUGUGGGGAGCACCUCUGCCCUGCCGCCCCGUCCGGGAUGCGAGGAGCGUCUCUGCCCGGCCACCCGGUCUGAGAAGUGAGGAGACCCUCUGCCUGGCAACCACCCCGUCUGAGAAGUGAGGAGCCCCUCCGCCCGGCAGCCGCUGGGUCUGAGAAGUGAGGAGCCCCUCCGCCCAGCAGCCACCCCGUCUGGGAAGUGAGGAGCGUCUCUACCCGGCAGCCACCUCGUCCGGAAGGGAGGUGGGGGGGGGUCAGCCCCCCGCCCGGCCAGCCGCCCCUUCCGGGAGGGAGGUGGGGGGGGUCAGCCCCCCACCCGGCCAGCCGCCCCGUCCGGGAGGGAGGUGGGGGGGUCAGCCCCCCGCCCGGCCAGCCGCCCUGUCCGGGAGGUGAGGGGCGCCUCUGCCCGGCCGCCCCUACUGGGAAGUGAGGAGCCCCUCUGCCCGGCCAGCCGCCCCGUCCGGGAGGGAGGU